UCUGUAACUGACGCUGAGGCUCGAAAGUAUGGGUAGCAAACAGGAUUAGAUACCCUGGUAGUCCAUACCGUAAACGAUGAAUGCUAAGUGUUGGAGGGUUUCCGCCCUUCAGUGCUGCAGCUAACGCAUUAAGCAUUCCGCCUGGGGAGUACGGCCGCAAGGCUGAAACUCAAAGGAAUUGACGGGGGCCCGCACAAGCGGUGGAGCAUGUGGUUUAAUUCGAAGCUACGCGAAGAACCUUACCAGGUCUUGACAUACUAUGCAAAUCUAAGAGAUUAGACGUUCCCUUCGGGGACAUGGAUACAGGUGGUGCAUGGUUGUCGUCAGCUCGUGUCGUGAGAUGUUGGGUUAAGUCCCGCAACGAGCGCAACCCUUAUUAUCAGUUGCCAGCAUUAAGUUGGGCACUCUGGUGAGACUGCCGGUGACAAACCGGAGGAAGGUGGGGAUGACGUCAAAUCAUCAUGCCCCUUAUGACCUGGGCUACACACGUGCUACAAUGGAUGGUACAACGAGUUGCGAACUCGCGAGAGUAAGCUAAUCUCUUAAAGCCAUUCUCAGUUCGGAUUGUAGGCUGCAACUCGCCUACAUGAAGUC
rnacentral:rRNA from 2 species